GUCCUGGCCCUAAACGGUGCACGUUUGCUGUAAGAGGAAUCGACCCCUUUUGUGGCGAAGCUAACGCGUUAAACGUGCCGCCUGGGAAGUACGGCCGCAAGGUUAAAACUCAAAGAAAUUGACGGGGGCCUGCACAAGCGGUGGAGUAUGUGGCUUAAUUCGAUGCAACGCGAAGAACCUUACCUGGCCUUGACAUGCACAUAGUAGAAGGGUGAAAGCCUGACGAGGUAGCAAUACCAGUGUGUACAGGUGCUGCAUGGCUGUCGU
rnacentral:rRNA from 1 species